GACGGAGGAGGCUAGCGUUAUUCGGAAUCACUGGGCUUACAGAGUUCGUAGGCGGUCCCAAAAGUUAGGUGUGAAAUCCCUCGGCUCAACCGAGGAACUGCGCUUAAAACUGUGGGACUCGAGGGAGAUAGAGGAAAGCGGAACUGAUGGUGGAGCGGUGAAAUGCGUUGAUAUCAUCAGGAACACCGGUGGCGAAGGCGGCUUUCUGGGUCUUACCUGACGCUGAGGAACGAAAGCCAGGGGAGCGAACGGG
rnacentral:misc_RNA from 1 species